rnacentral:rRNA from 1 species
AGUGAACGCUGGCGGUAGGCCUAACACAUGCAAGUCGAACGGCAGCACAGAGGAGCUUGCUCCUUGGGUGGCGAGUGGCGGACGGGUGAGGAAUACAUCGGAAUCUACUCUGUCGUGGGGGAUAACGUAGGGAAACUUACGCUAAUACCGCAUACGACCUACGGGUGAAAGCAGGGGAUCUUCGGACCUUGCGCGAUUGAAUGAGCCGAUGUCGGAUUAGCUAGUUGGCGGGGUAAAGGCCCACCAAGGCGACGAUCCGUAGCUGGUCUGAGAGGAUGAUCAGCCACACUGGAACUGAGACACGGUCCAGACUUCUACGGGAGGCAGCAGUGGGGAAUAUUGGACAAUGGGCGCAGGCCUGAUCCGGCCAUACCGCGUGGGUGAAGAAGGCCUUCGGGUUGUAAAGCCCUUUUGUUGAGAAAGAAAUCCAUCUGGUUAAUACCCGGGUGGGAUGACGGUACCCAAAGAAUAAGCACCGGCUAACUUCGUGCCAGCAGCCGCCGUAA